rnacentral:rRNA from 1 species
CUACGGGUGGCUGCAGGCGAGAAAACUUUGCAAUGUGCGAAAGCACGACAAGGUUAAUCCGAGUGGUUUGUGUUAAACGAACCUUUUGGCAGUCCUAGAAACACUGUUGAAUAAGGGGUGGGCAAGUUCUGGUGUCAGCCGCCGCGGUAAAACCAGCACCUCAAGUGGUCAGGAUGAUUAUUGGGCCUAAAGCAUCCGUAGCCGGCUCUGUAAGUUUUCGGUUAAAUCUGUACGCUCAACGUACAGGCUGCCGGGAAUACUGCAGAGCUAGGGAGUGGGAGAGGUAGACGGUACUCGGUAGGAAGGGGUAAAAUCCUUUGAUCUAUUGAUGACCACCUGUGGCGAAGGCGGUCUACCAGAACACGUCCGACGGUGAGGGAUGAAAGCUGGGGGAGCAAACCGGAUUAGAUACCCGAGUAGUC